rnacentral:rRNA from 1 species
GACGAACGCUGGCGGCGUGCUUAACACAUGCAAGUCGAACGGAAAGGCCCUGCUUUUGUGGGGUGCUUGAGUGGCGAACGGGUGAGUAACACGUGAGUAACCUGCCCUUGACUUUGGGAUAACUUCAGGAAACUGGGGCUAAUACCGGAUAGGAGCUCCUGCUGCAUGGUGGGGGUUGGAAAGUUUCGGCGGUUGGGGAUGGACUCGCGGCUUAUCAGCUUGUUGGUGGGGUAGUGGCUUACCAAGGCGUUGACGGGUAGCCGGCCUGAGAGGGUGACCGGCCACAUUGGGACUGAGAUACGGCCCAGACUCCUACGGGAGGCAGCAGUGGGGAAUAUUGCACAAUGGGCGGAAGCCUGAUGCAGCAACGCCGCGUGCGGGAUGACGGCCUUCGGGUUGUAAACCGCUUUCGCCUGUGACGAAGCGUGAGUGACGGUAAUGGGUAAAGAAGCACCGGCUAACUACGUG